rnacentral:rRNA from 1 species
UCAAGCUAAUAAGAGCGUAGGGUGGAUGCCUUGGUACCAAGAGCCGACGAAAGACGUGGUAAGCUGCGAAAAGCCAUGGGGAGCUGCAAACAAGCAUUGAUCCAUGGAUAUCUGAAUGGGGAAACCCGGCGGUCGUUGAGGGCCGUCAUCGUAACAUGAAUACAUAGUGUUACGAAGGGAACCCGGUGAACUGAAACAUCUAAGUAGCCGGAGGAAGAGAAAGAAACAUCGAUUUUGUUAGUAGCGGCGAGCGAAAGCGAAAGAGGCCAAACCGGAGUGCGUGCACUCCGGGGUUCGGACCGCAUUUAAGAUUCAGUGAUUCUAGCAGAAAGGUUUGGGAAAGCCUGCCGGAGAGGGUGAAAGCCCCGUAAGCGAAAGGAGAACUGACUGAGCGGGAUCCAGAGUACAUCGAGACACGAGAAACCUUGAUGGAAUGAGCGGGGACCACCCCGUAAGCCUAAAUACUACUUAGUGACCGAUAGCGCAUAGUACUGUGAAGGAAAGGUGAAAAGGACCCCGGGAGGGGAGUGAAAGAGAACCUGAAACCUUGUGCCUACAAGCACAUAGAGCACAUCAACGUGUGAUAUGGUACCUUUUGUAGAAUGGUCCGGCGAGUGAAUGUCACUAGCGAGGUUAAGGACUUAAGGUCUGCAGCCGAAGCGAAAGCGAGUCUUAAUAGGGCGAUAAUAGUUAGUGGUAUUCGACCCGAAACCGAGUGACCUAGCCAUGAGCAGGCUGAAGUGGAGGUAAAACUCCAUGGAGGGCCGAACCCACUCCCGUUGAAAUGGUAGGGGAUGACUUGUGGCUAGCGGAGAAAUUCCAAUCGAACUCGGAGAUAGCUGGUUCUCUCCGAAAUAGCUUUAGGGCUAGCCUCGAUUUGACAUUACCGGAGGUAAAGCACUGAAUGGGCUAGGGGCCGAGAGGUUACUGAACCCUAUCAAACUAAGAAUGCCGGAUAAUGAUAAUCGGGAGUCAGACAGUGUGAGAUAAGUUUCAUUGUCAAAAGGGAAACAGCCCAGACCCACAGCUAAGGUCCCAAAGUACGGUUAAGUGGAAAAGGAUGUGGAGUUGCACAGACAACCAGGAUGUUGGCUUAGAAGCAGCCACUCAUUAAAAGAGUGCGUAAUAGCUCACUGGUCGAGUGAUUCUGCGCCGAAAAUUUAACGGGGCUAAAUUGUACACCGAAGCUUGGGAUACAUCUAAUGUAUGGUAGGAGAGCGUUGUAUACGGGGUGAAGUCAGAGCGGAAGCGCUGGUGGACUGUAUACAAGUGAGAAUGCCGGAAUGAGUAGCGAGAAUUAUGUGAGAAUCAUAAUGGCCGAAAGACUAAGGUUUUAGAAGGAAGGUUCGUCCGCUUCUAGUCAGCCGGGAGCUAAGGCGAGGCCGAAAGGCGUAGUCGAUGCACAUACGGUGGAGAUUCCGUAGCCGCCAUUAAUUUAAACAGAGGGACACUUUCAAGGGGCAUGACCCGGGCGUUGGUAGACCCGGGCGUAAGGGACCGAAGAUUAGUAGGGAAGCAUGCUUUAAGGAAGGCGAGAAAAGCUCUGUGUAUAGAAGAUGGCGCCCGUACCGCAAACCGACACAGGUAGUCAGGAAGAGAAUUCUAAGGCCAACGGGAGAAGGGUAGUUAAGGAACUCGGCAAAUUGACCCCGUAACUUCGGAAUAAGGGGUGCUCACGAGAGUGAGCCGCAGUGAAUAGGUCCAGGCGACUGUUUAUCAAAAACACAGCUCUCUGCUAAAUCGAAAGAUGACGUAUAGGGGGUGACACCUGCCCGGUGCUGGAAGGUUAAGAGGAAGGGUGCAAGCUCUGAAUUGAAGCCCCAGUAAACGGCGGCCGUAACUAUAACGGUCCUAAGGUAGCGAAAUUCCUUGUCGGGU